UACGAGGGGGGCUAGCGUUGCUCGGAAUUACUGGGCGUAAAGCGCACGUAGGCGGCUCUUUAAGUCGGGGGUGAAAUCCUGGAGCUCAACUCCAGAACUGCCUUCGAUACUGAAGAGCUUGAGUCCGGGAGAGGUGAGUGGAACUGCGAGUGUAGAGGUGAAAUUCGUAGAUAUUCGCAAGAACACCAGUGGCGAAGGCGGCUCACUGGCCCGGUACUGACGCUGAGGUGCGAAAGCGUGGGGAGCAAACAGG
rnacentral:rRNA from 1 species